UACGGGGGGGGCAAGCGUUGUUCGGAAUUACUGGGCGUAAAGGGUUCGUAGGUGGCCUGCUAAGUCACACGUGAAAUCCCUCAGCUUAACUGGGGAACUGCGUGUGAGACUGGCGGGCUUGAGUGCAGGAGAGGAACGCGGAAUUCCAGGUGUAGCGGUGAAAUGCGUAGAUAUCUGGAGGAACACCGGUGGCGAAGGCGGCAUUCUGGACUGUAACUGACACUGAUGAACGAAAGCCAGGGGAGCAAACGGG
rnacentral:rRNA from 1 species